AAGGGCGCGUCCCCCAUCGCAGGAUCACUUGCUAUGGUAAGCCGCCCACCCUGCGCGCUCCUCCGCGCGGGGAAGAACCUGCGCGGCAGGACGCGGUGUUGGAGUUGGGGCGCCCGGAGCUUGGAGUGGGGAGACCUGAUGCAGAGUCUGGAGUCGGAGCUGGGGGUGCUGCAGGUAGGAGCAGGAGCGGGACGGAGAGGGAGGCCCGAAGAAGACCCCACACAGGUUGGCGCAGCGGGGCUUGGGGAGGCUUCAGCCCAGAAGUGGAGAGGGUUGACAGACGCCUGCUUCAUUAGAAAAAGCCGGGAGGUUGGGAAGGAGACGGGAUUGAAGAAGCCACCCGGCAGGGAGGCCGAACGGCCCAGAGCUCUCCGGGUAAAACCCGCCUGCGGUGAUCUGGGAAGUGUGUCUCCACCUAGCCCUGGAGCAGCGGGCUUCCUCCCGCCCGUUAGAAGGGCGCUGUGCUGGAGUACGAACCUGGCCAAGAGAAGCCACUCGCCCUUCUUUGUCACUUAAAACCCUGUCCCGACGCGGAUCUCACGUCUAGACCUCUGUCUUUAAAGCGGAUGUAGAGCGCGGUCUAACCGUUCCCUAACCAUUGUGUCACCGCGAAAGGCCCGGGCUGUGUGGAACCGUCCCGCACGUGUGCGAUGAAUCUGGCUCCGCUGAGAACGGAUCCGUGGGCUGUCUGGCGCGGGCUGGGGCAGCAGCCGAGAGUUAGUCUACAGAGCUAGGGCCCGAGAGCGGACCUGCGUCCGCGUCUCGUCACGAAAGGAGGCUCUUUUUGGAGAGGCAAAACGUGGUCGCCCAGAUCCGGCGCAGCUGUAGCCGUGGGCGCUGUGCAGUGACAGCCACACCCGCCACCUGUCACGAUCACAGUUCCAGGGAAAGGGGAAGGGUCAAGGAGAAUCUAGCGGAAACUUCUUCCCAUCUCACGAGCUCUCCCUUCUCUCCGUGGCCCCCAAACACUCGCAUUUAACGAAUAAUCCCAUCAAGUGAGUUCCAGUCCGAUUUAAGCGGUGGUUCCACAUAGUCUGUUG
rnacentral:lncRNA from 1 species